rnacentral:rRNA from 1 species
AUUGAACGCUGGCGGCAGGCCUAACACAUGCAAGUCGAACGGUAACAGGAAGCAGCUUGCUGCUUUGCUGACGAGUGGCGGACGGGUGAGUAAUGUCUGGGAAACUGCCUGAUGGAGGGGGAUAACUACUGGAAACGGUAGCUAAUACCGCAUAACGUCGCAAGACCAAAGAGGGGGACCUUCGGGCCUCUUGCCAUCGGAUGUGCCCAGAUGGGAUUAGCUUGUUGGUGGGGUAACGGCUCACCAAGGCGACGAUCCCUAGCUGGUCUGAGAGGAUGACCAGCCACACUGGAACUGAGACACGGUCCAGACUCCUACGGGAGGCAGCAGUGGGGAAUAUUGCACAAUGGGCGCAAGCCUGAUGCAGCCAUGCCGCGUGUAUGAAGAAGGCCUUCGGGUUGUAAAGUACUUUCAGCGGGGAGGAAGGGAGUAAAGUUAAUACCUUUGCUCAUUGACGUUACCCGCAGAAGAAGCACCGGCUAACUCCGUGCCAGCAGCCGCGGUAAUACGGAGGGUGCAAGCGUUAAUCGGAAUUACUGGGCGUAAAGCGCACGCAGGCGGUUUGUUAAGUCAGAUGUGAAAUCCCCGGGCUCAACCUGGGAACUGCAUCUGAUACUGGCAAGCUUGAGUCUCGUAGAGGGGGGUAGAAUUCCAGGUGUAGCGGUGAAAUGCGUAGAGAUCUGGAGGAAUACCGGUGGCGAAGGCGGCCCCCUGGACGAAGACUGACG